rnacentral:rRNA from 1 species
CCUACGGGGGGCAGCAGUGAGGAAUAUUGGUCAAUGGCCGGAAGGCUGAACCAGCCAUGCCGCGUGAAGGUCAGUGCCCUAUGGGCGUUAAACUUCUUUUGUGCGGGAGCAAUAAUGGUCACGUGUGGCCAGACGAGAGUACCGUACGAAUAAACAUCGGCUAACUCCGUGCCAGCAGCCGCGGUAAUACGGGGGAUGCAAGCGUUAUCCGGAUUUAUUGGGUUUAACGGGGGCGUCGGUUGUGAGGUAAGGCAGCGGUGAAAAGCCCCCGCUUAACGGGGUGAAGUGCCAUUGAUACUGGCUGGCUGGAAUGCGAAUGCCGUGGGAGGAAUGUGUGGUGUAGCGGUGAAAUGCAUAGAUAUCACACAGAACACCGAUUGCGAAGGCA